CGGCUCUGAGCGCACACGUCUGCGCGGGCGUGCUGGGCUGGGACCGCCGCGCCGCCCCCGCGGAGCCGCGAUCGCGAGCGAUGCCCCUCCCCACAUGAGUCCUCGCCGCAGGGGUCGUCACAGCAGGGCCCAGAGGAAGGAGCUCACCUCAGCUGGAGAUACACUGGAGAUGUCAGUAUCUGGAGCAGUCGACUGAAGCAACGGGCCAAAAGUGAAGGAAACAAAGGAUAUUGCAGCCAUCAGCCACCACAGCCCCCCCCCCCCCGCCGAAGGUGAGCCCUGAGGGAACUCGGGAUGCAGACAAACAGGAUGCCCACUGCCACGCCCUCAGUCACGGCAGCCACCCUCAACGGAGCACCCUGAGGAGACUCAGGAUGAGAAAGCACAGGGUACUGGCCCGAGAGAGCUGAUGAACACAUCAAAGGAGUGAUUCCAAUGAGCCCAGACUCUUGCAUCGUCCCAUGCAUAAAAAAGUGCUAAAUUCUUUAACUUGAGAUGUCUGGAUUUGUUUAAUGAACGGUAAUCUUUUGAUGCCCUGACUACCUGGUCUUUGUUGCAAAAACUACAUAUCCUGGCCCCUCCCUGACUGCUUUGGAGCAGAACUGCAGAGCUCUCUGUGAAGCUGUCUUUUGGACCUGAAGUCCUCAGAAAGUCCACCAAA